rnacentral:rRNA from 1 species
UACGUAGGGUGCGAGCGUUGUCCGGAAUUAUUGGGCGUAAAGAGCUCGUAGGCGGUGUGUCACGUCGGCCGUGAAAACCUGCAGCUUAACUGUGGGCGUGCGGUCGAUACGGGCAUCACUGGAGUUCGGCAGGGGAGACUGGAAUUCCUGGUGUAGCGGUGAAAUGCUCAGAUAUCAGGAGGAACACCGGUGGCGAAGGCGGGUCUCUGGGCCGAUACUGACGCUGAGGAGCGAAAGCGUGGGGAGCGAACAGG